UAACUUGUUCUAGUAGCUGUAUAUGGUC
rnacentral:sRNA from 1 species